CGCUGGCGGCGUGCCUAAUACAUGCAAGUCGAACGGUCUUUUCUAUGGAAGCUUGCUUCCGCUGAAAAGAUAGUGGCGAACGGGUGAGUAACACGUGGGUAACCUGCCCAUAAGAGGGGGAUAACAUCCGGAAACGGGUGCUAAUACCGCAUAGUUUUCUUGAUCGCAUGAUCGGGAAAGGAAAGACGGCCUUUGUGCUGUCGCUUAUGGAUGGACCCGCGGCGUAUUAGUUAGUUGGUGAGGUAACGGCUCACCAAGACGAUGAUACGUAGCCGACCUGAGAGGGUGAUCGGCCACAUUGGGACUGAGACACGGCCCAAACUCCUACGGGAGGCAGCAGUAGGGAAUCUUCCGCAAUGGACGAAAGUCUGACGGAGCAACGCCGCGUGAGUGAAGAAAGGUUUUCGGAUCGUAAAACUCUGUUGUCAGAGAAGAACAAGUUGGAGAGUAACUGCUCCAGCCUUGACGGUAUCUGACCAGAAAGCCACGGCUAACUACGUGCCAGCCGCUGC
rnacentral:rRNA from 1 species